rnacentral:lncRNA from 1 species
CGUUUUGCAUUAUUUUUACAUUCCUUGUCAAUAAUGAAACGAGUUCGGCUUCAGAGGGACAAUCCUGAUUCCUCAUCCUCCUCGAGGGUGGCUGUGUAGGUAAAGUAGAGAGCCCAGAUGAGAGCAAAAACACCCAACAGGAUCCAAACAAGAAGGUUGUUACUCAAACCAAAGGGCAGUCCUGUUCCUUCAGUGGACAUUCUCUCAUCCACCAGAGCCAAGGCGGGGCUUGACAUGGAUGCAGCGCACACAGCUGCCAUCAAAGAUGCACUCA